GGCGGCAGACAGUUGACAGCUCUCAGGGUGGAGUAACAAUGUGGAAGACGUCGCUUCAUACCUCUCUACUGUGUAUUCUACCGUGUCCCUGUCUUUAUUGGGGGGAGGAGGAGGGUCAACAUGAACUUUCUUCUGCUUUUCACGUGUCUCUGUGUGACACAUGCACAGCCUGAUGUGAUUGGCUCAGACAAACCAGUUACAGUUACAGUCGGUGAUGACGUCAUCCUGCCAUGUCACCUGGGGCCUCCAUUCAAUGUGAGGACUCUAACAGUGGAGUGGACACGUGAUGGACAAUAUGUCCACGUCUGGCGACAUGGGAAGGACUAUCUAACUGAUCAGGAUGAGAACUUCAGAGGUAGAACAUCUCUCUUCCAUGAAGAAAUGAUCAGAGGAAACAUUUCACUAAAACUGACCAGCGUAACUGAACUGGAUGCUGGAAGUUACACCUGCAUUGUUCCCAAACUGCAAAGUCAGGUCAAGAAAAACUUCAUUAUCCUCACUGUUGAACCAGGAAAAGUAAAGGAUCCUGGAGAGUCUGAUGUGAUUGGCUCAGACAAACCAGUUACAGUAACAGUCGGUGAUAACGUCAUCCUGCCAUUUCACCUGGAGCCUCCAUUCGAUGUGAGGAGUCUAACAGUGGUGUGGACAUGUGAUGGACAAUAUGUGCAUGUCUAUAGAAGUAGGAUGGAUGAUCCAGGUUCUCAGGAUAAAAACUUCAGAGGUAGAACAUCUGUCUUCCAUGAAGAAAUGAUCAGAGGAAACAUUUCACUAAAACUGACCAGAGUAACUGAACUGGAUGCUGGAAGUUACACCUGCUCUGUUCCCAAACUGCAAAGUCAGGUCAGGAGAGGCUUCAUUAACCUCAUUGUUGAGCCAGAGGAGAACAGGAACAAAGGAGGUCAGACUGAUGAUACCAACACAGAGCCAGGUAAGUGCUGUCUUUACUGCAGUCCACAAUGUACACAGAUAUCACUCCUGUUUCUCUCCUCCUUACAAUAUGAACCUGAGAAUGAGCAUAAUAUGACCUCUUUAACCUCAAAAGUAAUCAGAGUAAUUCUGAAUGUAAUGCUUCAUUUGACAGGAUGCCAUUAUAACAAAUAAUGAACUCAUUCAUCAUCUCAGAGCACACUGAUAGAGGACUACUGAAAGGUCCAGUGUGUAACAUUCAGGAUGAUCUAUUGUCACCGCCAUGUUUCUACAGUAGCCCAGAACACAUUUGGAAGUUUUAUUCACUUGUUUGCAAUCUGUAACUUCACCACUAGAUGGCACUGAAUCCUCCACAGCGGUCCUUUAAAUAACCCUGGAUCCUCUAUUUCUGGAGAAUAUUCUCACUGAUAAUACUGUUUGUUUACUGUUGUGCAAUGAAAGAGAUUCUAACCAACAGACAGUUUUGGUGGGAUGGACUCCAAGUACACAUUGAGACCAUGAACAGGAGAAGUGGUUGUGGAAAUAUUGUUGAUGGAUGUUAUCUUGGAACAGUGAAGAACAAAUCUCAACAUCUUUCCUCUGUUCUUUCAGGUGGUGGCACUGGUGCUAUAACUGGCAUUGCUCUUGGUGUCAUUGCUGUCAUUGCCAUUGUAGCAGUUGCUGUAUUGAUGAAACGUAGAAAGAUCACGACGGACUGUGCAAGACCAAACACGACAGGACGCAACGGGCAGAACAGGGAAGGUAGUCAGGAGGACAAUGCAGAGGCCAUACAGAUGACAAUGCAAAGGACAAUGCAGAGGACAGUGAUGGGGACAGUGAUGGGGGUAAUGGCGAGAAUAUAGGUAUGCUCAACUUAAGAAAUGUCAGCUAGUAAGAAAGAAAAGCUUUUGUUCCAUCCACAUUUCAUCAGGUCUUUUAUGAGCUGUAAUAAUAAUACUAAUAUUAUUAUUAUUAUCAAUAAUGAUAAUGAUAAUGGUGGUGAUAAUAAUAGUAAUACUAGUAUUUUUGUUAUUGUUGUUAUUGUUUUGUGUGGUUUUGUUUUGGUGUUUUUGCGUCACGUUAUCUUGUUUUACUGCCCUUGAAGAACUCUAGAAUCCGUUUACUGUAUAUAAAGUGUUUUUAUUAUAGAACCUUGUCAUUUGGUCCAAUAUUCACAACCAACAUUACAAUUUGAUUGAAUUAGUAUUAAGUAAUUGUGUGUGUUUUUUGUGUGCAGUUAGCAAUGUUUGAAGAAGCAAAUACAGACAAGUACAACCAUUUCAUCCAGAAUGUUGAUUCUUGAUUAAAAUGCAGCUGCAGGGAAUUGUUCAGAAGUUCUUCCUGAUGUGUUGAUUAAAUUUGACCAGAGGCGACAAUAAUAAGCUCUUAAAGACUGUUAUUAUUUUAAGGUGACUACACAUAUAUUUUUUUAUAUUUGGGUUUUAUAUACAUAUUUAUAUGUUUAUAUAUUUUUUUAUAUUUGAGUUUUAUAUACAUAUUUAUAUGUUUAUAUAUAUAUAUUUUUAUGACUGUUCUGCUUUUUUGUGUGUUUUGCCUCAUUUUAUCUUGUGUUGCUGCCUUGUGAUGAAUCUGUUUUAAAACACAUUGUACUACUAGACCUCAUUUGAUAUAAAAGGUUUUUAACUUGUAAUUUUGUUCUUAUUUGGUCUGAUAUUUUGGGGAAGUGCAGAAUCUUUAAGUUUAUUUCAACUAACCAAUUAAUGUUCUACGACACUGAACUGAAAGAAGUAAAUCAAAGUCAGUCUGAGUUUGUUAGAACUUCAUUGUGUAUAACUCUCAGUAAUUAAUAGUAGAAUAUUUAAAGGAUAUUAAUGUUCAUUUCUCAAUGCACAAACAGAAUGAUGCUACCUGAACAACAUGAAGCUGCAAUAGUUAAAUGUAUUACUGUAUGUGAGAGUGUACCACUGUAGCUCCAACCUUUACUUAUACUGUCUCUUACUUUAAACCAAAACACCAAUACAUUGGAUUUAUCUUUAUUUAUUCUGUGUGCACAUUUUUAUUGGGCGUAUACUUGUGAUGGUGGCGCCAUAUCCUCCUUCACUGCCAUCAGUAAAGGAGUGCGGACAGGUGGUCCAAAGUCCUGUGGUUUCAAGCAGCUGCAGUCAACCAGUUGAUCCACUGCUGCCAUAAGACUGAAUGUCUUGAUCCCAGCCACAGUUCUUUCAAUGAGUUUGCUUCCGGUCUUUGCUGUCCAUGUGGAAGAUGAAGGUGUCUCUCUCCACAUGCUUUUGGAGCCCUAAAGCUCUUUCCCCUGUGAUCAGCUUUAAUAGCAGGCUAGGUGAGAACAUUUUCCAGAUAAGCUGCUGUGAUCUUUGUUUCUCUUGUAGAAGAGCUUUGGCUGUUUCAAAGCCUCUCUCUCUCUCUCUCUCUCUCUCUCUCUCUCUCUCUCUCUCUCUCUCUCUCUCUCUCUCUGCUGGCUUGUAUUUAGUUGUCGAAUGAACAUUUCAGAUAUUUCACUUUGCCUUUGUACAAUCUGUAGCGUGGAACUGUCACCAACUGCAUGUGCAACCAGUUAUUUUUGCUCUUGUGAGAGGUUUUAUUUUCCAUUCAUGUUGUGGAGUUUUUCAUCUUCAUCUUUCUUGGCCUCUGCUUUCUACUGUAAUGUAUGUGAGUGAAUUACUGAUUGAUCAUUUGACCUGAACAGAAAUCACACUGAUGAUGAUGAUGAUGAUGAUGAACAUGGGAUGGGCAUUGAAGUCAAACUUCUUCUCAUGAUAUGUCUCAAGCACAAAUUGUCUAAUUUUGCUGCUUUUGUGUUUUCAUUAAUAUUUGAAUGUCUUUGUUUACUGAAUUUGGAGCAGAUGAUGUCGGUAAAAACUCUGAGUUCAAAAACAAUGAGCUUCAAAGUUGUUUAUGUAUAAGCAGCCACAUUUGCAUAUUAUUUUGACUAUUUGUGGGAUAGAAAUUCUCAUUGUAAAAUAAAAGUGCUGUUUGAUUGUGUUCAAUUCA